GAAAUGCGAUAAGUAAUGUGAAUUGCAGAAUUCAGUGAAUCAUCGAAUCUUUGAACGCACAUUGCGCCCGCCAGUAUUCUGGCGGGCAUGCCUGUUCGAGCGUCAUUACAACCCUCAGGCCCCCGGGCCUGGCGUUGGGGAUCGGCGGAAGCCCCCUGCGGGCACAACGCCGUCCCCCAAAUACAGUGGCGGUCCCGCCGCAGCUUCCAUUGCGUAGUAGCUAACACCUCGCAACUGGAGAGCGGCGCGGCAACGCCGUAAAACACCCAACUUCUGAAUGUUGACCUCGAAUCAGGUAGGAAUACCCGCUGAACUUAAGC
rnacentral:misc_RNA from 1 species